UACAGAGGAUGCAAGCGUUAUCCGGAAUGAUUGGGCGUAAAGCGUCUGUAGGUGGCUUUUUAAGUCCGCCGUCAAAUCCCAGGGCUCAACUCUGGACAGGCGGUGGAAACUACCAAGCUGGAGUACGGUAGGGGCAGAGGGAAUUUCCGGUGGAGCGGUGAAAUGCGCAGAUAUCAGGAGGAACACCGAUGGCGAAGGCAGCUCGCUGGGACGGUACUGACGCUGAGGCGCGAAAGCGUGGGGAGCAAACAGG
rnacentral:rRNA from 1 species